GGGCGAGUGGCGGAAUUGGCAGACGCGCAGGAUUUAGGAUCCUGUCCUUUGCGGGGUGUGGGUUCAAGUCCCACCUCGCCCA
rnacentral:tRNA from 1 species